GACGAACGCUGGCGGCGUGCUUAACACAUGCAAGUCGAACGAAGAGCGAUGGAAGCUUGCUUCUAUCAAUCUUAGUGGCGAACGGGUGAGUAACGCGUAAUCAACCUGCCCUUCAGAGGGGGACAACAGUUGGAAACGACUGCUAAUACCGCAUACGAUCUAAUCUCGGCAUCGAGGAUAGAUGAAAGGUGGCCUCUACAUGUAAGCUAUCACUGAAGGAGGGGAUUGCGUCUGAUUAGCUAGUUGGAGGGGUAACGGCCCACCAAGGCGAUGAUCAGUAGCCGGUCUGAGAGGAUGAACGGCCACAUUGGGACUGAGACACGGCCCAGACUCCUACGGGAGGCAGCAGUGGGGAAUCUUCCGCAAUGGACGAAAGUCUGACGGAGCAACGCCGCGUGAGUGAUGACGGCCUUCGGGUUGUAAAGCUCUGUUAAUCGGGACGAAAGGCCUUCUUGCGAAUAGUAGAAGGAUUGACGGUACCGGAAUAGAAAGCCACGGCUAAUAC
rnacentral:rRNA from 1 species